rnacentral:rRNA from 1 species
ACACAAUGACUCUCGGCAACGGAUAUCUCGGCUCUUGCAUCGAUGAAGAACGUAGCGAAAUGCGAUACUUGGUGUGAAUUGCAGAAUCCCGUGAACCAUCGAGUCUUUGAACGCAAGUUGCGCCCGAAGCCAUUAGGCCGAGGGCACGCCUGCCUGGGUGUCACAC